CGGCUCUGUAACAGAGGAAAAGAGACAAUUUGGAAAUGAGGUGAAUGACUUUCACUUCUUCCUUUGCAGGACCCUAACCAGAUUCCUGUUCUUGCAACACAGGAUAUUUUACAGAUCAAGACUUAAGUCAGAUAGGAACAAGUUUACAGAGUGAGACAAGUCUACAUUCCUAGUUCACAUAAUCGUCAUAAUCAAAAGAGCUGAUGAGAAUACAGAAUGUACAAAUAGAUAAGAGUUCCACACAGAUUGUAAGCUCCAUUGGUUGGGGGAAGGAUAUUUAGCACCUGAC